AUGGGCGGGAAGCCGGGCGGCGGGCGGGACGUGGCCUCGGUCCCGGCCCUGCCCCGCCCCGCCGCCACUGAGACUCCCAGCGCCACCAACGUCGGAGUUGCAGUUUCUUUAGCUGUCAUAUGCAGACAAGUACUACCCACCUCGCCUUUGGAGUGAGCAGCAUCCCUGUGCCCAUCCUGCUGUGAUUCAGGAGUCUCGCAGAAGACAUCAGAAUGCCUUUCUCUGAGUCACAGUCUGUAUCUUCUAGAAAAGGCUGUCCAUCUUCACCCCAAGCCCACUGGCUCCUGAGAUACGACAUCCAGACCCAGUGCAGCUGGACCUGGCCCAGGAAAAGAAAUACAAGUCCUUCCGCCUUGGCAAAGAUGAUAGUACCGUUCCCUUCAGUGUUCCGGUUCUGCUCUAUUGGAUAAGUUCCGGUUUGACUAUGACUACGUGAAAAUGUGGAACCAGACCUUCACCCCACAUUCCAGCUCCAGCUCUACCACAGAGGAAGUGCAAUAUCACCUUAGUUAUUCAACACAUUAUGCUCCUCGUGAUACAACCAGAGUUCACAUCAGCAAUCUUGGCAGCUCUCACCACGCUGCUGACUCACGACUCUCUCAUGUCCCAAUUUCCUGUCCAUUGUUCUUUCCUCUACUUGGCCUGAUUUCUAAAGGCCUCUCUUGGUUGCAUUAAGCGGGAUUCCUGAGGGAUUCCCUUGGCAGUUACCUUGGGGGAGCUCUUAGGUUUGGGGCUGAUCCAUGUCCUCUAAAUGUAGGACUUCAAAGCUCCCAAAGAUAGGCAGGCCCAGUGGGAAGCUGGGAAAUGCUCUCUGACCCCUCUGGGAGGGCUGGCAGUCAGAGGGCCUUUUGGAAAGAGUCAGACCUGAUCCAUAAGUCCCUGGAAAACACCCUGCCCAGGGAGCAAAUGCCACUGUGGCCUUGACUGAGGCUUCAGAAGAGUUUGGGAGCUGCAAUUCAUCCACACACGCAUUCAUUUUCAAGUAGUGGUUUGCAGUUCAGGCUUUGGAGCCACAUAAGCCUGGCUUCAAAGCCACUUUCCAGCUUUGUAGGAAGUCUCUACAUUUUUAAACCUCCAUUUUUUUUUCCUGUAAAACUGGGGUCUUCAUGGUACUUAACUUCAUCGUGAUGUUGAGAGAAUGAAAAGAAAAAGGAUAAAUAAAUGGCUUAGCCUCGUGCCUUGGCA
rnacentral:lncRNA from 1 species